GGUGUUCACACUCUUAUGGGACAUGUGCCUCCCUUACACCCUGUUAUAACCUUGGCACAUUACCCAUCUGACA
rnacentral:snoRNA from 1 species